UACGAAGGGGGCUAGCGUUGUUCGGAAUUACUGGGCGUAAAGCGUGCGCAGGCGGUUAUUUAAGUCAGGGGUGAAAGCCCUGGGCUUAACCGGGGAACUGCGUCUGAUACUGGAUGGCUUGAGAUUGGGAGGGGGAUGCGGAAUUCCAGGUGUAGCGGUGAAAUGCGUAGAUAUCUGGAGGAACACCGGUGGCGAAGGCGGCAUCCUGGACCAACACUGACGCUGAGGAGCGAAAGCCAGGGGAGCAAACGGG
rnacentral:rRNA from 1 species